rnacentral:lncRNA from 1 species
AGUAGAUGUGUGGGCAUGCUACCGGCAUUGAUUGUUCACGGCUGGUCACAGUGAUUUAGUUGCAUCGAAAACACACAACUACUCUAUUAGAAAAGAGUUACUUCAAGAUAAAGAUAGGAUUGGGCCCAACAACUAUUAGAUGAGGGAUCCAAUGACAGCUUUACACUUGCUUGUAAACGAUGGGUCUGACUUAACUAAGGAGUG